AGAGUUUGAUCAUGGCUCAGAUGACGCUGGCGGCGUGCCUAACACAUGCAAGUCGAGCGAACCCUUCGGGGUGAGCGGCGGACGGGUGAGUACGCGUGGGUACCUGCCCUGUACACACGGAUAACAUACCGAAAGGUAUGCUAAUACGAGAUAAUAUGUAAUGAUCGCAUGGUCGAUACAUCAAAGCUCCGGCGGUACAGGAUGGACCCGCGUCUGAUUAGCUAGUUGGUGAGGUAAUGGCUCACC
rnacentral:rRNA from 1 species